AUGAAGUGUCAUUAUGUCACACCUUUCUUCCGUUUACUGGAUUAUAUGUCCCAACAAUUACUGGUUUUAUUGGUUACUGUCAUGGGAGAAGAAACUAUUCUCAUAUUGCUAUCAGUUACUGGAUUACGGUUGGUGCCGAUUUUCCUGCUGUUAUGUUAUUAUGGUUGCUGUCAUAUAUCCAAAACCAUGUUAAACCAUCUUUCUAGUGCCGUGAUUACACACUGGAUGGAUGCUAUCAUGUUUGGUACGCCAUAUUUGUGA